rnacentral:rRNA from 1 species
GACGAACGCUGGCGGCGUGCUUAACACAUGCGAGUCGAACGGAAAGGCCCUGCUUUUGUGGGGUGCUCGAGUGGCGAACGGGUGAGUAACACGUGAGUAACCUGCCCUUGACUUUGGGAUAACUUCAGGAAACUGGGGCUAAUACCGGAUAGGAGCUCCUGCUGCAUGGUGGGGGUUGGAAAGUUUCGGCGGUUGGGGAUGGACUCGCGGCUUAUCAGCUUGUUGGUGGGGUAGUGGCUUACCAAGGCUUUGACGGGUAGCCGGCCUGAGAGGGUGACCGGCCACAUUGGGACUGAGAUACGGCCCAGACUCCUACGGGAGGCAGCAGUGGGGAAUAUUGCACAAUGGGCGGAAGCCUGAUGCAGCAACGCCGCGUGCGGGAUGACGGCCUUCGGGUUGUAAACCGCUUUCGCCUGUGACGAAGCGUGAGUGACGGUAAUGGGUAGAGAAGCACCGGCUAACUACGUG